UUUCGAUGAUACGCGAGGAACUUACCUGGGCUCGAACGUAAGAUGACUGUAGGUGAAAGCUUACAUCUCUUCGGAGCAUUUUACGAGGUGCUGCAUGGUUGUCGUCAGCUCGUGCCGUGAGGUGUCGGGUUAAGUCCCAUAACGAGCGCAACCCCUACCUUUAGUUGCCAUCAGGUUAAGCUGGGGACUCUAAAGGAACUGCCUACGCAAGUAGUGAGGAAGGCGGGGAUGACGUCAAAUCAGCACGGCCCUUACGUCCAGGGCUACACACGUGCUACAAUGGCCGAUACAGAGGGCAGCUACCUGGUGACAGGAUGCAAAUCUCCAAAGUCGGUCUCAGUUCGGAUCGGAGUCUGCAACCCGACUCCGUGAAGUUGGAUUCGCUAGUAAUCGCGCAUCAGCCAUGGCGCGGUGAAUACGUUCCCGGGCCUU
rnacentral:rRNA from 1 species